GACGAACGCUGGCGGCGUGCUUAAUACAUGCAAGUAGGACGCAGUUGCGAACGGGUGAGUAACGCGUAGGUAACUACCUAUUAGAGGGGGAUAACUAUUGGAAACGAUAGCUCAUACCGCAUACUAGUAUAUUGACCUGCGUUGUAUUAGCUAGUAGGUAGGGUAAUGGCCUACCUAGGGAACGAUACAUAGUCGAGUUGAGAAGGUGAUCCGCCACACUUGGGCGGGGACACGGCCCAGAAUCCUACGGGAGGCAGCCGUAGGGAAACUUUGGCAAUGGGGCGAAUCCGGGACGAACAACGGCGCGUGAGUGGAGAAGGUGUGUGGGGCGUAAAGCUCUGUUGUUAAGGAAACGGUACUUAACGAAAAAGGGACGGCUAACUACGUGCCAGCAGCCGCGGUAAUUC
rnacentral:rRNA from 1 species